ACUCCUACGGGAGGCAGCAGUGGGGAAUUUUGGACAAUGGGCGCAAGCCUGAUCCAGCCAUUCCGCGUGCAGGAUGAAGGCCUUCGGGUUGUAAACUGCUUUUGUACGGAACGAAAAAGCCUCCUCUAAUACAGGAGGUCCAUGACGGUACCGUAAGAAUAAGCACCGGCUAACUACGUGCCAGCAGCCGCGGUAAUACGUAGGGUGCGAGCGUUAAUCGGAAUUACUGGGCGUAAAGCGUGCGCAGGCGGUGAUGUAAGACAGUUGUGAAAUCCCCGGGCUCAACCUGGGAACUGCAUCUGUGACUGCAUCGCUGGAGUGCGGCAGAGGGGGAUGGAAUUCCGCGUGUAGCAGUGAAAUGCGUAGAUAUGCGGAGGAACACCGAUGGCGAAGGCAAUCCCCUGGGCCUGCACUGACGCUCAUGCACGAAAGCGUGGGGAGCAAACAGGAUUAGAUACCCUGGUAGUCCACGCCCUAAACGAUGUCAACUGGUUGUUGGGUCUUCACUGACUCAGUAACGAAGCUAACGCGUGAAGUUGACCGCCUGGGGAGUACGGCCGCAAGAUUAAAACUCAAAGGAAUUGACGG
rnacentral:rRNA from 1 species